rnacentral:lncRNA from 1 species
UGGGAGCGCCAGGGGCUGGCGGGGCCCGCGCCCUGGGACGAGCCCCUCGUGCUCCGGCUCUGCGCUCCCGCAGCGCCCACGCAGCCGAGAGGAGUGGGUGAUGACUUCGUGACCUCAACGUCCUCCCCCGUCCCUCGACAUGUUCCCGCGCCUGAAAGGUGCAGAAAACUCCCCCCACCGCUCUGGACGAGACUGAGCUAGGCGUCGAGGGCGGGCGCCGCCGCAGACCGGAGCUCGGGCUCGCUGGCCGCUCAGGCGCAGCGGUGUGGAGGGAACGGACGCGCGGCAAGGCGACCCGCUCUGGGCAACGCGGGCGCAGCUGCCCCGACGCAAGGCACUAGCUGGUCGGGGGCUCGGGCGAGCCGGGGCCGGCGUGCCGGGGCGUGCGCUCUCUCGGCAGGCGAGCGCCGGGCUCCGCGGAGGUCCCUGCGCCCACUGCCUGCUUCUCCGCCCGGCGACCCGGAGUCCCCAGGCUGCGGUGCGCCAGGCCAGACCUGACCGAGGGCGGAAGACCCGAGCGGCAGGGAGGCAGAAAGAAAAGAGUUUUGUAGAUUCCAUUUUAUUGGCCUGGUAUCACAGCAUUAGAAAUACAAGGGGAAAAGCCAAGACGAUGAAAGCCAGGGAACAUAGCUGCAAGCACCAGAGAGCACAAGUUCCCCUCCAUGGCUCUGCGGCUCAAAUGGAAAAAGGAGAGAUGUCUGCUUUGAUUUCUUUCCUUUUAAUUAAUCAGGAUCACAAAGCAAUCUCCACCCUGUCCCUGGGAUUUAAGAUACUGGUUAAACUCCACCGUGUCCCGAAUUCUCCACAGAAGGUGGAGGAGUGUUCAGAAUCUGAAGUCCACCCGCGGACCAUUAAAAACCUCUAGGUCUGUGCCCUCAUUUUUAACACUCAAAUUAAAGGAUCACCCUGAGCCACCACGCAGUGCACUCUUCUCUAUUUUCUCCCUCUUGUUGCUGGGCCGGUUUUGGAAAUUAGAAGGGGUGGUCUCUUUGUUAGCAAUCUGUUUACUUUCUUCUGAUACAAUGAAGCAUCAGGUCGAAGGUGACAAGGCUUCUUUGCUUAGUCAUUUUUACCCAUCUCUUUGUAGAUGAUGUUUUUUUCCAUUUUCAAUUUUUUUUUUCAUCAAUGCCAUCUCCCCAACAGCAUUUCAAAAAUAAAAUUUCCAAGUCCUUUUUUUAAAUGUGGUUCCAGUCAAAUGAUUUACCCACACCCCAAAUAAUAUUAUUUACAUCCAGUAUUAAUAGCUGCAUAUCAGUAAUUCUUAGAGAUCUUCUGAUCCAUAUUUAACAAUUUAAAUGAUGGCUAACAUUAUUGCCAGGCAAAUGCCUGAACCAAUAGUUUGUGGACUAGUUGCCAGCCAGAUGACAGCCAGGUAUACACAGGGUAAGAACAUAAUUAAGUUUCUGCCCUAGUCUCUUCAAUUGCAGAAGGCAGACAACACUCUUUCUCACCUUCCAGGGAAGUAGAUUAGCAGAUUAACAAAAUGAUGUAAAUCACAUAAGCUUUACAUCCCCCUUCCCCUUCUAAUACCUAUUUAGGAACACUUUAAAAUUUUUCCUUUAGGCAUCUAGUCUUUCUGUGGUUUAGCCACAUGCUCUCCCCUUUUUGGCUUUCUCCUUCUGUAAAAUAAGUAAGGUGAAAGAGCAGAUUAGGAGUUUUUCUUUUUCUUACAGCUUUCCUGUGUUUGAGUGGAUCAUCCUGUUGCCAUCGUUUUAGUCCAGUUGUUGUUAAUUCAUGUUCUUACCACCCACCAAAGAAUAGCACAGGAUUAAGUUUAUAUUAAUAAAUGAUGUUCAUGAGUAGGUUUUUAAAUGCCAGAGUUAUGAUUUAUUUUUUUAAAUGGGUGGAGAAAGGAGAGCGGCAAUAACUAGCUCCCAAGUCAUUCAAAAUCCUGGCAUCACACAUCUAUGUGGGUUUUUCUUUCUUUGUUUUGGUCUUUAAGUUUUUUGGACACACCUCUUAUUUCCCUUUUAGUCCUAUAUCAUGGAAUAAAUGCUUUUUUUGACUAUCUUUGUCCAUAGCUUGAAACCCUGUUUAUUACAGUUAAAUUUAUAGAAAGUAUUAUAUGGUCCUCUUUUCUUCUUCUUAAGAGCUUAUAAUUGUCCCUGUUUAUCUCCCCACCCAUUAAGAAUUCUGUAAUAAAUCCCUGCACCAAAUAAAUUAAAAUCUGCAACUUCAGACACCCGAGGAAGAGGACAUUAAUCCACUUAGUAAAAUACUCAAGACCUCCCCCUCUCAAUUUCAGCUCUUCUUAAUGUAACAUUCAGUAAUUACAGCUGGCUCCUUAUACUUCCCUCCCUCCCUUUUAUUCUGAAUUAUAUUGGCCUUGCUUAACCUUCAUUUCCUUUUCUACCCCCCACAUUUGUCCACAUACUUUUCUUUGACCAUGUUUGUCUCUUUCUCUUUCUUUCUGCUGUGUGGAUUGAGGGCAACAAAUGAAGCUUUCCAAGAGCUUAAUACUUGCCCGUAAAAUCCCAUCCUACCUCCCCAUUCCACUAUUAACGUUUUGUACAAUUUUUAUGCAUCCUUCAGUUGUGUAGUUACUGCUCUAUAUUUUUCUGAUUGAUCAUUAAGUUAUGCUGGCUUUUCAGAACUGUCUCCAUAAUCCUGAAGCAAAGCCUUUUUACUUGGCAUGCUCUCUGCCUUUGGAAUGCCUUUCCUGGCAAGGACAGACGCUUUGGUUUGACUACGAUUCUUAAGUUACAAUUCAAAGCUAAUUUGUUCAGUUAGGUUUCUACUAUGAGCAGCUCUGUUUCUCACCGUUAAGUGCUCCAUGAUGCUGCUUAGUUGAAGGGUGUGUUGUAAGUGCAAGAUGUAAUAUACUUAUAUUGUACUUGAUUAUCAGUUUUCAAAAACAGCUGCAUGCUUUGAUAUCUGUGUAAGGAAAUAUCGAAAGAUAAUAUACCAUUGGUAUUUAUUACUCUAUAAUUAAGGAUGUGUCAGUGUUUCCCUUCCAAAAAAGCCCCUUAUUUUCAGAAAUUCAUAUCUCAGGCAUAAAUUUCCCUAUGAAUUACAGUCUAAUACCAUAUUAGAAGUUUCUCCUUUUUAAGUUAUCCCUCCCCUUCCUUUUCUUUCUGAGGAAGUAAGUCUCAGGAUGUAAUUUCUGGGUUAUUGCUUUGGGAUGAGGGGGAGCAGGCCCAGUGAUGCACAGUUCAAGGUGCUGCCACAUUGCCACCUGCUCCCUCUGCUCUUCUGCCCUGUGUGGGGAGACACUGGGGGCUGCCUUUCUGAUGAAGGGUCAGCUUUAUACACACAUGGGUGAGCAGCUUUGCCACUGUAUGAUUCGAAAGGCAAUAGAGAAGAGUCAGUUGUCCAGAAAUAUCACAAGUGCCACAGAGUCUGAACUUUUAGUACAGAAAUCAAUUCUUCCGCAUUCCUCUCCUUAUGGUCAUUGAGAAUACAAGCACUGGCUGGUGUAACAUGAAAUACACCUAGAGUAAGGUAUUAGCAACUUAUUAACACGUUUCUUCUUACAGUGAGAGGCAGAAGGAAGAAAGAGGAGAAAGAGAAGACAAAUGUUUUUCCCUUCUUGAAGAGGUGGUCUUGACUACUGCUCAACCACAGCCUACUGAAAGAGCCCUGGAAAAUCUGAGUUCUAGAUCUGCCUGUACCACUGUGGGACCCAAGGCAAGUCAACUUCUCCUCAGGCCCCAGUUUCCUACAUCUCAAAUACAGGAGGUUACAAAAAUAAGUGAUUCUCAGGAGGGCCAGGGAAGUUACCUAAAUGUAUGAAUUCAGCAGAGUGUAAGACCACAGGGAGUGGUGGGGGCCUGUGACAGAUGGGGUAUACUCACUGAAUGCCUCCCUAAAGGGAGAACCAGAGCAAUAAUAAAAACACUUAAAAUAAUGGCCAUAUUCCGGGCAUGGUGGCUUACACCUGUAAUCCCAGCACUUUGGGAGGCCGAGACAGGUGGAUCACGAGGUCAGGAGAUUGAGACCACCCUGGCUAACAUGGUGAAACCCCGUCUCUACUAAAAAUACAAAAAAAUUAGCCGGGCGUGGUGGUGGGCACCUGUAGUCCCAGCUACUCGGGAGGCUGAGGCAGGAGAAUGGCGUGAACCCGGGAGGUGGAGCUUGCAGUGAGCCGAGAUGGUGCCACUGCACUCCAGCCUGGGCGACAGAGCCAGACUCUCUCUCUCAAAAAAAAAAAAAAAAAAAUUGGCCACACUACAUAGUCUCUUAUGUCCCUUUUAAUGGCAGAAAUGUGGGCCACAAAAUAACCACCUCCACUGUCCUUUGCUGUCUCCUGCCAGCUGGAGAAAUAGAAGGGAACUAGGGGUCCAACUGAGUCACGCAUACUGCACUUGGUGCUUCCUGAAAGGCACAUAGGUGACAAUGAUAACAUCCCAUGUAGGGAAAGGCUUAUACAAAAAAACUUUGUUUCUGUAACACACUUCAGCUCCUAAAUAUGUCACUAUAUGUGCCUUAAUUUUCUCAUCUGUGAAAUGAUAUUGAAGACAUUAAAUUUUCAGAUCUAAAGGACUUCAAAUUGCUUGAGAAAGGUCAUACCAAUAUUCCUAGGGGUCACAUCUUCUCGCACCCCACCUUAGACCUGCUAUUUAAAUGCAGUAAAUGCAGUAAUAGGAAAGUAAUAUAACCAUUUAAAAUUAUCUUCCAAGAAUCACCAAUUCCUUCUGUCAGUUUAUAAAAACAAUUAAGAUCCUCUCCUUGGGGUUGGGAGAGGAUAAGGAAUAACUCAGAUAAUGAUAGAUGAUGGUGGGACACCUGAAGAAACCGAUCGCAAAUUCCAAUUUAGAAAAAUGGACUGCAGAGUGAGUGAGGAUCCUGGUCCCUGAAGCCAUUUGUGCCUCACAUGCAGCAAGGGCAUCCCACAGAUACCCGGGAGAACUCUUCCCCUGGGAUAGAUUGCAGUGAAAGCACAAAGACCACGAUUCGCUCCUGCGUCUUAAAGAGGAAAGGGGAGAGGCAACACUAUGGGGAGUGGGCAGUGUGGUUGGGAGCUCUGAGAGCUCUUGUGCUCUAACAGGCAGCUCUGAAUUUUUUGAGAUGAGAAAGACUGGGCUCAUUUAACAUCUGCCUUCCUCUUCCUUUCCUUACCCUUCAGAAGGGAGUUUAGAGCUAUAGUUUUCCAUCUUGUGUUUGCAAUGCCACAGGCAUCUGUUAGAAAUGGUGAUUAGCAGCCCCAAGAAACAGGAACCUGUGGCCAGUUGAGUCUGACUUUCUCCACAGCAUGAGGGUUGAGGUGAAGCCCCUGGCUCCUGUUAAGCAGAGGAAAGUCUUCUCAAGCAACAUUGGCAGUAGAGUAGUUUGUAUCACUGUCUGAGGCAAGCAGUUUUCUGACUCAAUCAAUAAUUGAGAAAACCAAGAAAUGUUAAGGAUAGCCUGAUAGCAAAACUAGUAACAUGCUUCCUGAAGUAUUUAUAUCUCCUAUCAAAAGAUAUAUGCAAUAAAUACACUGAAGACACAUGAAAUGUCACAAAGAGUGGCAAGAAGCCUUUGUGUAUCACGACUCAGCUUAAGAAACAGACUUCUCAUCAUGCAACGAAUGCACCUUUCCCUACUUCUAUGUCCUUUUUUUUCUCUACCAUGGCCCCUCUGACAUAACCAUUAUUGUAAGUUUGGUUAAUUCCCAGGUUUUCUGUAAUACUGUACUUUAAUCACACAUGUCUGUAUCUUUGAGCAGCAUGUAGAAUUGCUCGCAUGUUUUUCAAACUUCCCCAGUUAUAUUUUAAUGAAUAGCUUUGAAGAGAGGGCAUAGGAUAGGAGCAUUAGUUGUCUGUAUCACAACUCAAAUUUUAAAAUGAAACAUGUUCAAGUCAGUGGUUUAUAAUAUACUCUCUUCAUUGUUAAACAUAAGAUCUAAUAUUAAAUAGUCCCAAAUUUUCCACUGAAAAAGAAAGGCAGUUGGGUCAAUAGUCAAUAGAAGAAUAAGACCCACAGUGUAUGUCAGCAUUAAAAGACAGCAUGGACUAUCAUUUGAAAACUGAUUCUAUCAUCCACAGAAAGUAUCUUGAGACUUCAGUAAAAUUUCUUUUGUGGCUCAUAAUAUUUCUGGGUAGCAGAUGCUUUCUCAAAAACAGAUUUUACUUUUAAAAAUAUCAAAUAUAAUUAACACCUUCAACAUAAAAUGAAAUCUUUGCUUCCAGAUGCAUUUCAAGGUGUUGAAAUUAAUCUCUGCAGCCCUCUAUGGCUAAGAGUUUCCAUUGACUUAUGGAUUCUGCCUGCCAUAUUGAUGUCUGAAGGACUGAGAACAGGAGCAGGGCAUUUAAACUUAACUGUAUUUGAAGGAUGCUUAUUAAACCAGGAGCAUUUUUAAAAAGGUAUUUGCAUCUAUUUCUGUCAACACAGUAUAAAUGAGAAGGUUAAGAACCAGGUGCCCUGAUAUUUGUUAUAGAAACACCUAGCCAGAAGCAUAGAUUAAGUUUAGGGCAAGCUGUAUUUCAAGACACUGUGUCAAAGUCUUGAUAAUGGAUGGACUUUUAAAGACAUUUAAAAUUAAAAUUGACUUUAUUUUAAAAGAAAAAAACAAUCGAGUGUUAAAAAAAAAGAGGAAGACUAAGUUUUCCAUCAAACAUACUCAAAACAAUAAAUGAUGGGGGUGGUUGAUAAGGGAAACUGAAUUAAUGAGUCAACGUGUAGUACUAAUUAUCUGCUGAGAUUUCAACAAAAUACUGAUUAACUUAUUUAAUAACACUCCAUUCCACUAGGUCGUGGGUGUUGAGAAGCAUGAAUGUGCGUGUGCACACACACACACACACACACACUCCUACAUAUUUUUAAAUGUUAAGAAUUACACAUUUACAAAACUUUUUAUUGCUUAUGUGAACUAGUAGCAACUCUGACAUUACAGUCUUUAUAAGGUUUUUCUUUAAACUCCAAAUCUCGGUAUCAUGCAAAUAAGUGACACCUUUAAUGUAAUUUUUUUAAAAUUUAUUUUAAAUUUAUUUAUUUAUUUAUUUUUUGAGACAGAGUCUCGCUCUGUCGCCCAGGCUGGAGUGCAGUGGCACGAUCUCGGCUCACUGCAAGCUCCGCCUCCUGGGUUCACGCCAUUCUCCUGCCUCAGCCUCCCCAGUAGCUGGGACUACAGGCACCCGCCACCAUGCCUGGCUAAUUUUUUUUGUAUUUUUAGUAGAGAUGGGGUUUCACCGUGUUAGCCAGGAUGGUCUCGAUCUCCUGACCUCAUGAUCCACCCGUCUCGGCCUCCCAAAGUGCUGGGAUUACAGGCGUGCGCCACCGCACCCGGCCUAAUGUAAGCUUUUGUCCUGGAAGGAAUGUUGGCCACAGCUAAUGGCAAAAUUUGAUUUGCAUUUAUGAGUGUAGAAAAAAAUGCCCACAUACAGGUAACUUUCAAUAUUAUAUUUGCCUAAAUCAGGAAAAUACGUAAAUGUUUCAGAUGUACUCUCUGAAAGGUGUUUAAUGCUUUUUUUUUUUUUUUCCUAUCAGUGAGAAAAGAUCUAUGGGUACUAGUUGUGUGUGGAGUAUCUUAGCCACUAUGAAGCGUAAGCCCAUUUAGUUUCAGGAUAGAAAAACACAGUAAACGAAGCGCUAUUUCUUGGCUGUGAGAUAAUAUUAUUUUGAGAAGAUGUCAUCUGUGACACAGCAACUGACAGAAGCAAACUGACUCAUCUGGUUUAUCUCAGUAGAUGGCAUAAAGUAUAACCUUGCCCAGGAGAAGUGGCAAAGAAUUUCUUAUUCAUAUUUAUAUCUUUAGUUUUGCUAUCCAAAGGAACACACCUGCUAGAUUCUGAGUUCCAUAGUCUUAGACUGGAAGGAACUUCCAAAAUAGUUCCUGAGCUCUUUGUUUUCUGGGUGACGAGGUAAUUUGUUCACUGGCUUCCCUGUAAAAGUCUAGAAGCCAGUGCUGUGGUGGCCCAUCACACACUGUGGGUCUCAUGAAGGUUGGAGAGAGGAGUCUGUUCAGAUGGAGCUUCUUGUUUCUGCUUCUUACUCUUCCUGCUUUUAAAUUCCCAGGCCUCAUAGACUCUGAACUGCUUGCUUCGAUCUGCAAUACUGCCUCUCUUCCAAGGGCUUUGUCUGGCUCCCUAACCUUGAUCUAUUUCGUGCUUUCGAUUUUGCUACCGGUCAAAUGGGCCCUACUGGACUUCCGAAUCAUUGCUUUCUUUAUCUUAGAUGCCUGCUAGGCCACUCGAUCCUUCCAGAAGCUAGAAAGCCUGGCUUGCCCCUUGUCUAGCCACCUUUCCCAGGCUGUGCCUCACUUUGUGGUGUAUAGAAGUUACUCAUUUCAAAAGCUAGGGAAAGUUACAAUUUACCUGUCAGUAAAC